rnacentral:rRNA from 2 species
GACGCUUUGGUUCAUAUUGCCGGUGCUUGCGCUUCUCUGAAAGAACAAAGAAGCGAGUGGCUUCCGGGUGAGUAACACGUGGGUAACCUGCCCUGAAGUGGGGGAUAACAUUUGGAAACAGAUGCUAAUACCGCAUAACAACGAAAACCACAUGGUUUUCGCUUGAAAGAUGGUUUCGGCUAUCACUUCAUGAUGGACCCGCGGUGCAUUAGCUAGUUGGUAAGGUAACGGCUUACCAAGGCGAUGAUGCAUAGCCGAGCUGAGAGGCUGAUCGGCCACAUUGGGACUGAGACACGGCCCACACUCCUACGGGAGGCAGCAGUAGGGAAUCUUCCACAAUGGGCGCAAGCCUGAUGGAGCAACGCCGCGUGAGUGAAGAAGGGUUUCGGCUCGUAAAACUCUGUUGUUAAAGAAGAACGAAUCUGAGAGUAACUGUUCACAUUGUGACGGUAUUUAACCAGAAAGCCACGGCUAACUACAUGCCAGCAGCCGCGGUAAUACGUAGGUGGCAAGCGUUAUCCGGAUUUAUUGGGCGUAAAGGGAGUGCAGGCGGUUACUUAAGUCUGAUGUGAAAGCCUUCGGCUUAACCGGAGAAGGGCAUCGGAAACUGGGCAACUUGAGUGCACAAGAGGGUAGUGGAACUCCAUGUGUAGCGGUGGAAUGCGUAGAUAUAUGGAAGAACACCACUGGCGAAAGCGGCUACCUGGUCUGUAACUGACGCUGAGGCUCUAAAGCAUGGGUAGCAAACAGGAUUAGAUACCCUGGUAGUCCAUGCCGUAAACGAUGAAUGCUAGGUGUUAGGGGGUU